rnacentral:rRNA from 1 species
GCCACAGCCAUAUCCCCUGCAGCCCAAGACUGGUCACCCACUGAAGCUAAGCAGGGUUGAGCUGGUCAGUACCCGGAUGGGAGACCUGCUGGGAAACUAGGCAGCUGCUGGAA